GACAAGCAAAUUAAGGGCGUAUGGGGAAUGCCUAGGCUCUCA
rnacentral:rRNA from 1 species